AAAAAGAAUUCUGCGUUAUGUAGCUGGAACCAUUGAUUAUGGGCUGUGGUAUGAAAAAGUAUCAUUUUUCAAGUUAAGUGGGUUCACUGACAGCGAUUGGGUUGGAUGCUUGGAAGAUAGAAGGAGCACUUCAGGAUAUAUUUUUAAUCUUGGGUCUGGUGCUAUUUCUUGGAGUUCAAAGAAACAGAGCACGACAGCCUUGUCUUCAUCAGAAGCGGAAUACGCAGCGGCAACAUCGUCAGCAUGUCAAGCAGUAUGGCUAAGGAGAAUUCUUGCUGAUCUCUGUCAAGAACAAUCUGGAGCAACUGAAAUUUUUUGUGACAAUCAAGCAGCAAUUGCCAUGACAAAAAAUCCAGUGUACCAUGGAAGAACAAAGCAUGUGGACAUUCGUGUUCAUUUUAUUAGAGAUCUUGUGGCAGAUGGAGAAAUCAAAUUACAGUAUUGUAGCACAAAUGAACAAGUUGCUGAUAUCUUCACAAAAUCACUUCCACGGGACAAGCAUGUCUACUUCAGAAAUCAGCUUGGAGUUUGCAACUUUGAAUCAAGGGGGAGUAUUAGAGAUUGAUUCAAAGUGACAAUUGUUUUAUUUUCUGACUUUGUCUUAGGCACGUUUUUUUUCUUCCUACAAUUCUGGUUGUUUGUUAGUAGUGGGAGCAUUUUUUAUUUAGUGCCAAUUAAUUCUGCUAUUUUAUUGUUUUCAGUUAUUGUGUUAAGCCUAUUUAAAGGCCACUUUGGUUCAUGAAUAAAAUGCCUUUGUAUGUCAAAGCUUUCUGCAGAUUUGUGCCCACCAUAUGUUUGAUUAAAUUUCUCUUUGAGAACUAGUUAUCUCUUUGCUGUCCUCACUUUAUUGCUUGCUGUGAUUAUUUUAUUUUGCAGCAUUUGUGAGUUCUAGUGAGCCAUCUUACGUUCCUUUCACAACAGAAGUGGUAUCAGAGCCUCGUUCGAUUGUAACCGGGCGUACGACUCAUGGCAUCUAACGGCAAUGCAAUGAAUAUUUCUCAACCAUCAAUUCCAAUCUUCAAAGGUGAAUGCUAUGAAUUCUGGAGCAUCAAAAUGAAGACAUUGUUCAAGUCUCAAGAUUUGUGGGACUUGGUUGAGAACGGGUAUCCUGAACGAGAUGAAGAGGCUAGACUUAAAGAAAACAAGAAAAGGGACUCCAAAGCACUGUUCUUCAUCCAGCAAGCAGUGGAUGAGUCAAUUUUUUCAAAAAUAGCGGCAGCAAAUACAGCGAAAGAAGCAUGGAUGACCUUGCAGACGGCGUUCCAAGGUUCCUCAAAGGUAAUCACAGUAAAACUCCAAUCACUUCGCCGUGAUUUUGAAACCUUGCAAAUGAAAAGCGGAGAAUCAGUGCAGGAUUUUCUGUCUAGAGUAUCUGUAAUAGUUAAUCAAAUGAGGUCUUAUGGAGAAGUAGUUACUGAUGUGACUGUUGUUGCAAAAGUGUUGCGCAGUUUAACUCCAAAGUUUGAUCAUGUAGUGGCAGCUAUUGAGGAGUCGAAAGACUUGGCUACUUACUCGUUUGAUGAACUAAUGGGAUCUUUACAAUCCCAUGAGGCAAGGUUGAACAGGCAAAUGAAAAGAAUGAUGAAAAGGCUUUUCAAGUGAUGGGGGAGUCAUUUAAACAACAAGAUGACUCAAGGAAAGCAUUAACCAGAGGACGUGGUAGAGGAGGAUAUCGCGGCAGAGGUGGUGGCAUAGGUGGUAGAGGUAGAGGCAAAAUUGGUAGACAAGAUGAGCAAGGGCCAACAACAGAGAGGCAGAAAAAUUACAAGAGCAAUAUCCAGUGCUAUAAUUGCAAGCAGUAUGGGCAUGUGAAGGCAGAAUGCUGGAGGAAAGAAAAGCAAGCAAAUUUUACAGAAGAUGAGGAAGAGCUCAAGCUAUUUAUGGCCUCUCAAGAUGACAACAAAGCCUUAAGUGACAUUUGGUUUCUGGACAGCGGGUGUUCCAAUCAUAUAACUGGAAUAAAAUCUUUGUUUAAGGAGCUUGACGAGUCAUACAAACUGAAAGUGAGACUUGGUGAUGACAAACAAGUGCAAGUUGAAGGCAAAGGCACGGUGGCAAUAAGCAAAGGCCACAGUAAUGUGAAGCUCCUUUACAAUGUUUAUUUUAUUCCUUGUCUAUCACAAAAUUUGUUAAGUGUCGAACAACUUGUGUCUAGUGGAUAUUCAAUUAUGUUUGAUGAUGGCUCAUGU
rnacentral:misc_RNA from 1 species